GGAGAGGUGGCAGAGUGGUUGAAUGCGGCAGUCUCGAAAACUGUUGUAGCGGUAACGCUAUCGAGGGUUCGAAUCCCUCCUUCUCCG
rnacentral:tRNA from 1 species